rnacentral:rRNA from 1 species
UACGUAGGUGGCAAGCGUUAUCCGGAAUUAUUGGGCGUAAAGCGCGCGCAGGCGGUUUCUUAAGUCUGAUGUGAAAGCCCACGGCUCAACCGUGGAGGGUCAUUGGAAACUGGGGAACUUGAGUGCAGAAGAGGAAAGUGGAAUUCCAAGUGUAGCGGUGAAAUGCGUAGAGAUUUGGAGGAACACCAGUGGCGAAGGCGACUUUCUGGUCUGUAACUGACACUGAGGCGCGAAAGCGUGGGGAGCAAACAGGG